rnacentral:lncRNA from 1 species
GGCGCUUGAAAAAGAGGGGGAAAGACCUUCGUUGAAGCAUAACGGAAACCACUACAUAUCCUGCUAUCAACAAAAUACUUGUCAGAGUACCUUAAAGCAGCUGAUACUAAGAGACUAGAAAGAGACACAAUA